rfam:Triticum aestivum genome assembly, contig: Triticum_aestivum_CS42_TGACv1_scaffold_129595_2BL
UUUCUACUCCCUCCGUCCAAAAAUACUUGUCAUCAAAAUGGAUAAAAAGAGAUGUAUCUAAAACUAAAAUACGUCUAGAUACAUUUCCUUUUAUCCAUUUUGAUGACAAGUAUUUUCGGACGAAGAGAGUAUUUG